rnacentral:rRNA from 1 species
GACGAACGCUGGCGGCGUGCUUAACACAUGCAAGUCGAGCGGUAAGGCCCUUUCGGGGGUACACGAGCGGCGAACGGGUGAGUAACACGUGGGUGACCUGCCCUCAGCUCUGGGAUAAGCCCGGGAAACUGGGUCUAAUACUGGAUAUUACUCUGCGGUGCAUGCCGUGGGGUGGAAAGCCUUGUGCGGCUGAGGAUGGGCCCGCGGCCUAUCAGCUUGUUGGUGGGGUGAUGGCCUACCAAGGCGACGACGGGUAGCCGGCCUGAGAGGGCGACCGGCCACACUGGGACUGAGACACGGCCCAGACUCCUACGGGAGGCAGCAGUGGGGAAUCUUGCGCAAUGGGCGAAAGCCUGACGCAGCGACGCCGCGUGAGGGAUGACGGCCUGGUGU